rnacentral:misc_RNA from 1 species
UCCGGUUUGUCACCGGCAGUCUCAUUAGAGUGCCCAACUGAAUGUGGCAACUAAUGACAAGGGUUGCGCUCGUUGCGGGACUUAACCCAACAUCUCACGACACGAGCUGACGACAGCCAUGCAGCACCUGCAGUGGCCCCCUUGCGGGACACCGCCUCUCAGCGGCUUUAACCACCAUGUCAAGAGCUGGUAAGGUUCUGCGCGUUGCGUCGAAUUAAACCACAUGCUCCACCGCUUGUGCGGGCCCCCGCCAAUUCCUUUGAGUUUUAACCUUGCGGCCGUACUUCCCAGGCGGUGCGCUUAACACGUUAGCUCCGACACCGAGGGGCAAGCCCCCCAACAUCUAGCGCACAUCGUUUAGGGCGUGGACUAC